UACGAAGGGGGCUAGCGUUGCUCGGAAUUACUGGGCGUAAAGCGCACGUAGGCGGCUUCUUAAGUCGGUGGUGAAAUCCUGGAGCUCAACUCCAGAACUGCCUUGAUACUGGAAGACUUGAGUUCCGGGAGAGGUGAGUGGAACUGCGAGUGUAGAGGUGAAAUUCGUAGAUAUUCGCAAGAACACCAGUGGCGAAGGCGGCUCACUGGCC
rnacentral:rRNA from 1 species